UACGUAGGUGGCAAGCGUUGUCCGGAUUUACUGGGCGUAAAGCGUGCGCAGGCGGUUCGUUAUGUCCGUUGUGAAAGCCCCGGGCUCAACCUGGGAAUGGCAAUGGAAACUGGCGGGCUCGAGUGUGGCAGAGGGGGGUGGAAUUCCGCGUGUAGCAGUGAAAUGCGUAGAGAUGCGGAGGAACACCGAUGGCGAAGGCAGCCCCCUGGGCUAACACUGACGCUCAGGCACGAAAGCGUGGGGAGCAAACAGG
rnacentral:rRNA from 1 species